GAUGUUUCAGUCACUGCUGAGCAGUGACUGAACACAGAGUUAGUAGUGCCAGUAACACAGAGUUAAGGCCUUUCCUGCCUCUCACCCCACCCUACAAGCAAGUAGGCUCAGUGUGCACAAGGAGCUGGGAGGGGACACAGCUGGGACAGCUGACCCCAGUUGAGCCAAGGGACAUUCCAGACCACACAGCACCAUGCUCAGCAUAGAAAGCUGGGGGGGAAAGAAGGAAGGGAGGAUGUUCAGAGUGACAGUGUUUGUGUUCCCAAGCAACCAUUGUGCGUGAUGGAGCCCAGCUUUCCUGGGGACAGCUGAACACCUGCCAGCCUGCAGAAAGUGGUGACGUAAUUCUUUGGUUUGCUUCCUCAUGUGCAAGGGGAAGAAGAAGGAAGGGGGGACAUACACAGUGACAGCAUUUGUCUCCUCAAGUCACCGUCACACGUGAUGGAGCCCUGGAGAUGCUGAACACCUGCCUGACCGUGGGGAGUGGUGAAUGAAUGCCUUCCUUUGCUUGUUGAGAACAAUUAAUCACUGGAACAGCCUCCUCAGGGACAUAGUAGUCCAUAGUCCCCAUCACUAGAGGUCUACAAGAUGUGACUGCAAACAGUGCCAAAUAAUCUCAUCCAGGUUCCCCUUCCUAUGUGAAACUGGACCUGAAGAUCUUCUGAUGUCCUUCCAACCUGGACCAUACUAUGAUUCUAACUACGGCAUAAAAAUAUCAGGGAUUUUCUGUUGUGAAUCCCAGCUCUGCUUUUAACAGAACCUGCUCAAAGAAACAUACCCAUUUUGAAAAUACAUCUUUAAUAAAACUAUGAUAUGAGAAGAAGGUCAGUGCAAUUUCAGAAACUCCUUAACUAUUAGACUCUGACAUGCCAUAAGACAUUGGUUUGGUGACCAUUAUUAUAUAGAUAAGGAAA